rnacentral:lncRNA from 1 species
CAUCUUGAAAAAGAGCUUCAUCCAUGACCAGUUCUUGACGGCAUUGAAGGUGAGGGUGAGGGGAGGCCCACAGUCCCACAGGCCUGCCUCCAGUGAAGGGGCUCAUGAGCCCCCCAUGUCCUGGUGGCCUCUGCAAUUCCCGGAAGACACCAGGGCUGUUAAGCCACGGGGCUCUGGAGUCAGCGGCCUGGGCUGACGUGCCAGCUAGCUCUGGAUCUCUGACACGGGCACCCUUCUGCUGAGUGGAGGCCAUCACAGCGCCUGUUUCUCAGGACCGUCAGCGCUUUAACCAGGAUAAUGCAGAGAAAGUAUCUUGCCUGGGGCCCGGCCCGCAAGAGUCUUGGAAGACACUGGGUGCCAUCGCUACCCCUCCGGGCCACACGCUGAUGUCCUGAAAUGGAGAGGCGCUGGUACUCAAGGCGCAUGAGGCGGCCACGGCUCCGCGCCUGCAGCAGCGUCAGCACCUUGGCCAGGCGCUGGUCACGGAGCUCUUCCAGGACGCCUAGAAGCCCAGCCUUGAAGAACACCUGGGGGCGGAGAGGAUGUCUGCUGGAGGCAUUUCAAACCUGAUACACGCAAAACAGAGCUCAAACCAGUAUCCCUUCACCUCUCCUCCAAAUCAAAAAACCCUGUUUUUGUAGCUCAGUAAAUCUACCACUGGUAGCUCCCAGGUUGCUCACUCCCAAAACUAGAAAUCAUUCGUCUUUUCUGCAUCCAGAAUUCCAUGUCCAGCUUAUCAGCGAGGCCUGUAGGCUCCACCUCCACUAUUUGCCCCAAGCCUAUUCACUUCUCCCCAAGUCCCCGGCCAGGUCUGAGCCACCCCCAUGUCUUGCUGGGAUACCUGGCCAGGCCCCUCACAGUCCCUGCUUCCCCCUCCAGACAGGGGACCGUCUGUUGGGCUCUGAUAUGUGUGUCCUGCCCAGCCCCUCAGGCCUCCACCUGGAGCAGCAGGCAGGGGGAAGGGGUCACCCACCGCUGCCGGAAGUCGGUGUAGAGCAACCUGUUGGGGAACCCUUGGCGGCAGAUCCGGAUCCCCUCCAGGACCCCAUUGCAGCGCAGCUGGUGUAGCACCAAGAAGGCAUCCAUGACCCCUGGACGUGAGAGGGGAAAAGGUCAGAGGUCAACAGGCACACCCGCAGGCCCCAGAGAAAAAGCAGCAGUGGAGACCCUGCGAGGAUGGACAGGAUGCCCAGUGGCUGGGAACAGAACGAGCUUGAAAAGCCACCAUCAAGCCAGUCCAUCCUGGAAGGACUGAACCCCUGGUUCCCCAGGCCACCUCCCUUCUGGGAGCCUUCCCAGAUCCCCAGCUUCAGCCAUCUCCCCGGAUGGUCAGACACCACACCCACUCCAAGAACCCAUCUCCUAACAGAGAAAAGUUUGUGGCUUGGCUCCAGUCCCCUCCUGCAAAAUCUGCAGCACUGAGGUGUCAUCUUCACUUCUAACAAUGGCAAACCCAAGCUGGCAUCUCUGUACCCACUCUCACCCCCGCCACAGCCAUGGCUGUCACACACAAACAUGGGAGUGGGAAGAUGAAUGUCUUCAGUGCUGACAUAAUAUUUAAAAAGCUGUCAAUCACCUAAACGCCCAGCUGUAGGGGACUGCAGAAAUGCAUCGUAUGAAACUCAUCCACUGCAUGAACUACUCUUGCCAUGAGCAGCAUUCAAAAUACAUUUUCAGAGAAAAAGUAGGAUAUGAAAUGAAAUCUGUGUCUAUAAAAGAAAAUGGAUAGGCCAGGCGCAGUGGCCCACGCCUGUAAUCCCAGCACUUUAGGAGGCCAAGGUGGGUAGAUCACUUGAGGUCAGGAGUUCGAGACCAGCCUGGCCAAAAUGGUGAAGCCAUGUCUCUAUUAAAAAUACAAAAAUUAGCUAGGUGUGGUGGCGCAUGCCUGUAAUCCCAGCUACUUGGGAGGUUGAGGCAUAAGAAUUGCUUGAACCCUGGAGGCGAAGGUUGCAGUGAGCUGAGAUGGUGCCAUUGUACUCCAGCCUGGGCGACAGAGUGAGACUCCAUCUCAAAAAAAAAAAAAAAAAAAAAGGGAUAAAGGAUUUCGAGGAAAUGAACCUAAGUGUCAUGUGACUGGCUGUGAUAGGAAUGGGGAGAAACAUUUUUUCCCCUGCCAAUUUUUCAAAUUUUCUUUCUUCCAUUCUUUGUACAAUGGGUAAAUAUACAUAAUGUUCCACAAUCACAAAAACAAGGAAACACACCCUGCCCUGCACCCAGGGCAGUUCUAGGGAUCCAGUGAAAUUGUGGCUGCAAAUAGGGCCUUGUGAGCUGCAGAAUUCUGAGCACCCAGGAGGAGCUGUUGUCCACAGUACUGGGAUGCAUGCAUUCACACUGCUCACACACUCACCAAGGCUCACUCAUGGUCAACUCCAACACACCCACUCACACACGUGCCCUUUCACACACAAGCACAUAAACGCUGUCACAACUACACUCACAUGCAUGCUUACUGCAACGCACAGUCACACGCUUCCAUGCACACUUGCAGGCUUCCAUGCAAGCCAUGGUCAUCCAUCCCUGCUUGCUCACCACACACACCCUCCCUUCCUCAAAGUGACCUUGCCG